ensembl:lncRNA
GCCAGACCCCCCCGGACCAAGGGCAGACCCCCCCGGACCACGGCCAGACCCCCCUGGACCACGGCCAGACCGCCCCGGACCAAGGCCAGACCGCCCCGGACCAAGGCCAGAACGCCCCGGACCAAGGCCAGACCGCCCCGGACCAAGGCCAGACCAGCCCGGACCAAGGCCAGACCGCCCCGGACCAAGGCCAGACCCCCGAUGAACCUGGCCAGACCGCCCCGGACCAAGGCCAGACCGCCCCGGACCAAGCCAGACCGCCCCGGACCAAGGCCAGACCGCCCCGGACCAAGGCCAGACCGCCAAUGAACCUG